rnacentral:rRNA from 1 species
CAGUCGCCGCGGGAAUACGAAGGGGGCUAGCGUUGCUCGGAAUGACUGGGCGUAAAGGGCGCGUAGGCGGAUUGUUUAGUUAGGCGUGAAAUUCCUGGGCUUAACCUGGGGACUGCGCUUAAUACAGGCAGUCUAGAGUGAGGAAGAGGGUUGUGGAAUUCCCAGUGUAGAGGUGAAAUUCGUAGAUAUUCGCAAGAACACCUGUGGCGAAGGCGGCUCACUGGCCCGAUACUGACGCUGAGGCACGAAAGCGUGGGGAGCAAACAGGAUUAGAUACCCGCGUAGUCCCUGUCUCUUAUAC